AAAGGGGGUUGCUGUCAUGAGCAGCACACGUUGGGCAGCUUAAUUGCUCUACAUGUGGAAUUGACAUCAAGAUUUUGGGAGCAUGUGUUGGUAGAUGGGCAGCUGGUGAUGGUUGGUUCUGGCACCCAG